rnacentral:rRNA from 1 species
UGUUGAAAAAUUAGCGGAUGACCUGUGGCUGGGGGUGAAAGGCCAAUCAAACCGGGAGAUAGCUGGUUCUCCCCGAAAGCUAUUUAGGUAGCGCCUCGUGAAUUCAUCUCCGGGGGUAGAGCACUGUUUCGGCUAGGGGGCCAUCCCGGCUUACCAACCCGAUGCAAACUGCGAAUACCGGAGAAUGUUAUCACGGGAGACACACGGCGGGUGCUAACGUCCGUCGUGAAGAGGGAAACAACCCAGACCGCCAGCUAAGGUCCCAAAGUCAUGGUUAAGUGGGAAACGAUGUGGGAAGGCCCAGACAGCCAGGAUGUUGGCUUAGAAGCAGCCAUCAUUUAAAGAAAGCGUAAUAGCUCACUGGUCGAGUCGGCCUGCGCGGAAGAUGUAACGGGGCUAAACCAU